GAUGAACGCUGGCGGCGUGCCUAAUACAUGCAAGUCGAGCGAACGGACGAGAAGCUUGCGUCUCGGAUGUUAGCGGCGGACGGGUGAGUAACACGUGGAAAACCUACCUAUAAGACUGGGAUAACUUCGGGAAACCGGAGCUAAUACCGGAUAAUAUUUUGAACCGCAUGGUUCAAAAGUAAAAGACGGUCGUGCUGUCACUUAUAGAUGGAUCCGCGCUGCAUUAGCUAGUUGUUAAGGUAACGGCUUACGAAGGCAACGAUGCAUAGCCGACGUCAGAGGGUGAUAGGCCACCCUGGAAGUUGGACACGGACCAGACUCCUAAGCGAGGGCCCAGUAGGCUAUCUUAAGCAAUGGGCGAAAGCAUGACGCAGCAACACCGCGUGAGUGAUGACGAUCUUCGGAUCGUAAAACUCUGUUAUUAGUGAUAAACAUAUGUGUCAGUAACUGUGCACUUCUUGACGGUACCUAGUCAAAAAGCAACGGCUAACUACGUG
rnacentral:rRNA from 1 species